rfam:Arabis alpina cultivar Pajares Aa.chr6_contig_1028, whole genome shotgun sequence.
AACCCGUGGUGAGGACAAUCUCUAUGAUAUCCUUUGAACCGAUUCCAUGAAGCCCUGAAGGCUUCGGUUGCCCCCUGAGAGAAUGUUGAGAUCUUAGCUUGCAGAU